rnacentral:rRNA from 1 species
UAAGGUGGUUAUAGCGAUAGGGCUCACCUCUUACCAUACCGAACAGAGAAGUUAAACCUAUCAGCGCAGAUGGUACUGCCCGAAAGGGUGGGAGAGUAUGUCGCCGCCUUGC